GGAAAUUCAUAACCUAAAUAAAAACUCAAAUUCAUAACCUAAGUAAAUUCUCACCCUUACCAUCUUUUUACUUAUAUUUUCAAAUGUUUGAAGAUCUGACGGCGCUGUAGGAGAUUCAACAUUAUUUUGCUGAGGUUUCAUGGCAGUAUUAUGCAAUUGCAAUGUGCAGGCUGUCAGGUUUUAUCUGAGCCAUUUCCUUGUGAUAUUUGACAAGUUUGCACUUAUGUACUUUUUUCCUUGAGCAGAGAUGAUAAAGCACAGUUAUUUUUUCGCCAAAAUGAUAAAAUUUUAGUGAUCACUAGAUAAGAAAUCGCUGCCAUUUAUGAGGGUCAAAUUUCUGCUUGAAAGAUUAAAUAAACUAAGAGUUUAUAAGUUCCACUAUAAAUGGUUAACAUAUUAUUUAAAAUUAAAAAUUCCAAUAACUCAUUUAAAAAUAUUAGUUUCAUCGCCUUUCCAAUGGCUUUUUUUCUUAUCCUUUAACAUGGGUGCCAUUACUGUUCAUUCUUUUGCUUUCGAUUUCCUUUGUCUUUUCCUCUACAUGAAUAAGAAACUUCUGCUGGGAGAUGAUGGUGGUUUUUCCGCUGGUGAGAAUGAGAUGCUGAGGAAUCAUUAAAUGAUGGCUAUUCUUUCUUGUGAAAACUUGGUAGCAAAUGUUUCAGAAUGGAAAUGUUAACUUUUUUGAUUGUAGCAGAAUUAUCUGUAGCUUUUUAAAUGAUGGAAGCUUUUUCUGGUGGGACUCACUCGAGGACAGGAACUUGCUGAAGUGUUAUUUGAUAGAGAUAAAGUUGGAUUCCUCUAGAAAUGUCACUCGAUUGCCUGGGUUUGUUCAGGAUGAAUCCACAGCCCACAAAAGUGCCCUGGCAGGAUCUCCAUUCAAAUUGGCACAAAUUCUGGACUACUUUUGAACCCACAGGCCAGUAAAAGUGCCCGGUAGAAACCCUGCUCAAAUUGGCCCAAAACUCAGACCAGGUUUGAACCUGACCUAUAUCUGGGAAAUGCAGGGGAUGAAUUGGCAACUUAGAUGUGCAAUGCUGCAACCCAUUCAAAUUUAUAACGAAGAGGUCAUCCCUGAACCUGUGACUGCGGUUGAGAUGCAGAGCAGUUUUUUUCCUCAUUAUGGUAUGUAUCAUCCAAAGUAUCUAAACUUUGGCUCAGGUGAUGGCAAACAUACACAUUGUUCAUACUAGAUUAAGAAAUCAGUUGCCCCCUAUUUAUACUAGUCCUCAACCAAUUUCCCAAGUGUAUCCAGUUUCUGAAAUUUAUCAGAUGAAUGCUAGGGCCAGAGCUUCUUGAACAAGUGGGCUGUUUCCUGAUACUCGAACUUAAGUCUUCCAGUUUCUUCCAUGGAAUUCCAGCUCCAGGAGGGACACGAAUCAAGUUCUUCCAAUAGAAACUCAGGAAAUUAGGCCUUCCUUAACAAACCUGUUGAAAAUCCAAGCACUGCAUCUACAUUCAUCGCUAUCAUUAUUGAAAUGGAUGCAUCUCUCUAGAGAAAUGAAAACUUGGAGAAGGGGUAACAACCCCUAUCUGGCUGUUUGUUUGGUGAGGCUCCUUCCUGGGUUUCAAAAGCAACUGGAGUACAUUGACAUCAUGAACACUUGUAUUUAUCAGAUGGCCACUAUUAUUGAGUAGCACAAGCAAAAACUAGAGGUGACAAAUAGUGGUCUUCUUUCAGAAAAUGGAAAGAGAAGGUUUGCCAUCUUGCAGAUAUGAUACAGCAACAGGCUGAGCUUGCACCAUAUACAAAAAGGCAGGUUACUCAUGCAAAAAUUCAACUGCUACUAGAGCAUGGUGUGCAAGAUUCUACAAAUAUAAAACCACCUCUGCUAAUCCAGCUUGGACAGCCCAAAGCAGCAUUGAUGCAAGUAACUCUGUCCUUCCUGCUCAUGGAGUGCCAGUGGCACAUACUUAAAUUAAUUUUCUGUAAAAAUAUAAGUAUUUUGUCUCUGCCCUGGCCAUGAAAGGAAUGGAAUUGAUUUUUUGUCGCAACACAAAUAUUUUAUCUCUGCCCUGACCAUAUGAGGAAGGACAUUUCAUUCAUUCAGUCAGGGUAUUUGAAGUAGCAAAAUGUAUGUUGCUCUACAUAUAAGGAAAUUUUACAUAUAGUUUACAACUACUGUGAAUAAGCAUAAAGGCAUAUCUAGUGAUUUGGAUAACCAGUGGAUCCAGAGGAAGGCACAACAAACUCAAAAAUCAAGAGUUCUCAUAGGUCAACGUUAUUUUAAUAUAUAUGCGGAAAUUAUAGAGUAGCUGAUAUCUGUCCUUGAGGCAUCUGACUGCAGUACCUGCACCAUUUAUAUCAAUAUAAUAUAAUAUUUUACAUUUUAUCAAUUUCUUUUGUCGGAUAUGUGGUACUAACCAUUAAUUAUAUUUUGAUACAAAUGCUAUUUGAAAAUAAAUUUUCAGGUUGCAGAAAUAGCUGACAGCUUGAUCUAAUUUUAAAGUCAUAUUUAGUUAUUGGACUAAAACAAAGCAAUUGCAAGCUCAAGGCACAUGGUUUUGGCUGUUUUGUCUUAAGGUUUGUGCUCAUAAUUUGUGAUGGGAAUGCAAAACUAGUAUUUAUAUGCAAAUCCGGUUGUAAGUUGUCCAACUUUCCAGCUGUAUUUAGGUUGGUGUCAAUGCUUGAUUGAGCUGGUGUAUUUAUUGUUUUCAUUUGGGUUUCAAUUUAUAAUUAACUGUGCGAGACUAUCUAAUGUGCAUCAAGAUACACCUCCUCUUCAAGUUGUUAGUUGAGGUCAAUAAUGAUGCAAAAGUAAUCUUACUGGUAUAUCAGACUCUAUGAUGGAGGAGAUUUCGGAGUUUAUUUCUGCCAGUUACAUUUCAAUGCAACAAUUUUUGAAUAAUAUUUAUUUUUACCUUGGAAAGAGGAGCUUGAUAAUAAAAGGAGCCUUUUUUGAACUUGUUUUUUAAACAUCUACUGUUUCUGUUUUGACUAUUACCUCUAUUAUGUUUGUCCACUUGUGUUGUUCCUGACCUGUGAUACAUCGGGUAAGGUCUAUUUGGUAAGCCAAUUAAUAGAUGGUGCCAAGAAUAAACUCUUUGAUAGGCAGGGCAUACUAGAGAUCCAUAUAAGAUGCACUCCAGUUGAGUUAUCAACAGUGUUCCAUGGGGAUGCCUCCCUGGGGUCCAGGGAUGUCUCUCGGGACUUGGAGGGGAUGUCCUCGUUUUCAGAAGUGGACAUCCCCCCUCCAAGUCGCUGAAACCAUGCCCCCCUGUCUUUGAAUCUCUAUCCAAAGUAACAUAGAGAAACGUUGCUUAUAAUCAUUUGCAAAUGGGAUGAAUACACAAUAUUGCAAUUGUCGUGGGUGGUUCAUUUAUCCUGCUUCAUUUCCUCUACUGGACUGACAUUUCUGAUUUUAUAUAUUAAAUAUUUAGUUAGUGCUUCAAGGUAUCAGUAGAUCAGGGUUAAGUGUAUUUGAAGUUUUCCAGCUGUAUAAGGUUAGUUUGAAUGUGUACUUGUAGCAGUCAUUAUCAUCCCAACCGAUGUUAGGUUUAACCAUAUUAGUUGUACUGUUUUAGAGUUCAGUCAUGGAUGUAUUCGGAGAGACCUGCCGUUCUCAUAAAGUAAGAUUGCAGAUAAAAUCCUGUGCUUUUGGUUAGUCAAGUUAGAAUAUAAAAUUAUUGAAGAAAUUGAAUAUUUAUAAUUAUCUUCAAAUCUAUCGUGGGAACAAAUGUUGAAAUACUGCAUACAAACAAAUCUGUUUUCUGGAAGGAAACGUAAUUAUCAAGGGAUCAGCCAAGUGUUCCACUUAAUUUGUGUAGGCCUCAAGGGAUCUGCCAAGUGUUCCACUUAAGUUGUGUAGGCCUCAAUUUUUGAAGCCUCUUCAUCUAGGUUAUGCUUAGUUACCCAAAUUUCUCUUCCCACACUGUCUGGGUCUCUUGGCACUCAAUCUGCUCAUCUCACUUGGCUUGCCUUGGAUUCUGUCAAGUUUUUAUGUUUGUUGAUACACAACAUUCUGAUUCUGUUUGAGAGUAAUUGAUGGAUCAUCCAUUUACAAUAAAUGUAUUGACAAUUUAUUAUAAGCCACGAAGGGACUUUUGCAACUAAUCAAGCUAUUGCUGGGAGGCAUUCCAUGGUGGUUCAGCUGAGAAACAUGAGAUUUUGAUUAUGCCAGAAAGUGUGCUCAAAAAAGUAAAUUUCAGCGUGAUGCUGUGAAACACAGACUGAAAGUCAUGUUUCUUCUGUACAAUGCUAUAUGUUGGCCCUUUGUAAUUUUUAUUAGUUUGGGAUGUAAUUCUCUUUCAGCUGUUGGUUGUAUCUGCUGCCAUUUGAUGCUUUAUUGUAAAACAUUUUAAUUUGUGUUGUAUUCUCUUUCAGCUACUUUCUGUAGCUAUUAUUGUUUGUAUUCUUUCUUUGAUUCAGUAUAAAAAAUGAAAAUUUCAUUUAGCACAAAUGCUGCUAUUA